AGUUGUUUUUAUAUUGCUAAAUUCCCCAGCUCUGUCAGGUCCCCCUUGAAUUUGACUAGUGAAGGGGUCUUCCAUAUAGGAUCUCAAAGGGGGAGAAUCCUAUUUUUGCCCGGGAUGUACAGCAUAUUUGGAGAAGAGCUAGGGGUAGUAUAUCUGGCCAGGACAAGUUAGUUUCCUGACAUAGUUUGCCAUGGCUGAUAUAAGGGUCUAGUUCAUAUGUUCCCUGAACUCUGGGGCUGGUAGGCUGCUUUUAAGUACCUUUGGAUAUCUAGGGCUUUGGCUACUUGUUGCACCACCUCGGCCACAAAGGCUGGGCCAUUGUCUGAGCUUAUGGUUAACAGUAUUCCAUGUCUGGGAAUGAUAUCCCUUAGCAAGGCCUUGGGUACUUCUCUUGCCUUUUUGGUGAGUGUGGGAUAGACUUUAAUCCAGUCCAAAAACAUGCAGAUUAAUACCAAAAAAUAUUUGUAUCCUUUACUGGGUCUUAUUUUGAUAAACUCUACCUCUAAAUCUUUGAAGAGUGCCUGACCACAGUGUUGGAUUUCUAUGGGCCCAGUGGGGCCUUGUUUGGCAUUAUUUUGAGCACAGAAGAGGCGGCAUUGAGAGACCUAGGCGCAGAGGGAUUAGAGUCAAGCAAUUACAUGGUAAUGGCUUAAUAAAUUUUCAAGGGCAGUUUUUCCUAGGUGGGUAAGCUCAUGCUGUAGGAGAGCCACCUGGUAUGCUAGCUGCUCCAGUACAUGGACUCUUUGGUCUGGAAGUACCCACCAUCCUUCUUUUGUCUGGCCUUUUUCCUGUUGUGCCCAUUUUGUUUCUUGGAUUGUGUACUUUGGGGAAGUUGGCAGUUCUGGGGCCAGCAUGAUUUUUGAGGGUGUUGUUUGUUUUUCUGCUGCUUGUUUAGCUGUGGUGUCAGCUUGUCGAUUCCCUUCUGAUGCUGUGUCCUUUCCUCUGGUGUCCCUUGCAGUGGAUGACUGCUACCUCCCUUGGUUCCCAGACUGCCAUUAAUAGCUUUAGGAUUUCUUCCCAAUUUCUGAUUUCUCUUCCUCCUGCGGUCACAAGUUCUCUCUCCUUGUAUAGAGCCCCAUGUACACGUAGAGUGGCAAAGGCAUAGUGCAAAUCAGUGUAUAUGUUGGCCUGUUUAUCUUUCCUGAGUUCUAGUGCUCUCAGUAGGGCCCACAGUUCUGCUUUUUGGGCUGACCAUCCUCGUGGAAGGGCCUUUGUUUCUGUGACCUCAAAAUCAGAGACUACUGCAUAACCAGCAUAUCUUUUGCCUUCGUUCAUGAAGCUUCUGCCGUCAGUGUGCAGUAUGAGGUCAGGAUUUUGUAAGGGCCUGAUAGGUCAGGUUGGCUAGAAUACACUUCAUCAAGUACCUCUAGACAAUCAUGUUCUGGGGACCCCACCACUGCGGGCAAGAAAGUGGCAGGUUUAGAGUUUUUAUAGUUUCCAUUCUUAUUCACGGGUUCUCACAUAACAGUCCCUGAUAUUGUAUGGCCCUCUGGCAUCCAUCAAGGUAAUAACAGAAUGGGGAACAUUUAGGUUUUACCCCAAAUGUGAGUUUGUCUGCUUCCAUGAUUAAAAGCGUGGUGGCUGUUAGUGCUCUCAGGCAGUGUGGCCACUGAGUCAAUCUGCUUUGAAAGGUAUGCCACUGGUCUUUGCCAACGUCCAAAUUCCUGGGUGAGAACCCCCAGGGCCACUCCCUUCUUAGGUAUGAACAGGUUGAAAUCUUGUGAUACAUCUGGGACUCCCAAGGCUAGUGCCUCUGAGUUUUGUUUUGAACUCCUUUUCUUGAUUAGGGACCCAGAAAAGGGGUGCUCUCUCUUCCCCUUUCAGUGCCUCAAAUAUAGGUCUGGCCAACUCAGAGAACCCUGGGAUCCGUAUUCGACAGAAUCCUGCUGCUCCCAGGAACUCUUGGACCUGCUCGCAGGGCUCUGGUUCCCUCCCAGCACUGGGUCUGCAUGGGACUGGCUAGCAGAAGAUCAUCCAUACCUUGGAGGAGGAUGCAUCCUAGGUCCUGUCCCAGAACCUGGCUAAAUCAUAUGCCAAAGCCCAGCUGAAUAAGUGGUGCUAUCCAGGCAGUUGGUGGACACAGGAGGCAAGCAAGAUUACAGAAGCCAAAAAGUGUGCAAGGUGAGUAUCCAGCCUCCAACAUCAGACUGGCCCCUCUUAUCUUGUUUUUACUAGCCUUUCUUCUCACCCUGGAUAGCAGAUAAAGCUCUUCUACGUAUAAAGCUCUUCUACGUGUAUUUUUGAAAGAUCCUACCAAAUUUAAGGAAAUCAAAAAUUAAAAAGUUUAAUGACUAUCCACGACUGCCCUUCACAGAGGAAGGAGGACCCCAAAUUUCCCUGAGGCUCUCCUACAAAUGAUCUGUGAAAGGCCAUUAUUCAGGGACUAAUAAAAGCCCAGUUGAAUUAAAUACCCAGAAAAGCUUUUGUUAUAUAGACUUAAAGAUAUAAAUCUAUUUUAUUCCAUUUUAGUUAAAAAUCUGCAAUAUAAGCAAAUUUAUUUAAAAAGAUGGGCCAGUCCCUUGAUAUUAAGACUGUAAUCUAGUUCUUUGGGGAAUUAAAAAAAACUGUGUUUGCUGUCUUUUUCUUUGCAAAAAACUGUCUUUACAAAUCUCUACAGAGCCAGAAAUGCAACUCCAGAAACAAGUCAAAACCAAUGGUUCUUGUAAUUCACUUUGAUAUACAAGUGCUUUGGAUUACAAGCAUGUUUCUGGAAUGAAUUAUGCUCUCAACCCAAGGUUUUACUGUAUUUGGAAUUUGGGCUCCUAAUGUC